rnacentral:rRNA from 1 species
GACGAACGCUGGCGGCGUGCCUAACACAUGCAAGUCGAGCGGAGUCGAUCGACGGAAGCCUUCGGGCGGAAGAUGGUUGACUUAGCGGCGGAUGGGUGAGUAACGCGUGGGCAACCUGCCUCGAAGACCGGGAUAACAGCCCGAAAGGGCUGCUAAUACCGGAUGUGGUCAAGGAUCCGCAUGGAUUUUUGAUUAAAGGGGAAACCCGUUUCGAGAUGGGCCCGCGUCCUAUCAGCUAGUUGGUGAGGUAAAAGCUCACCAAGGCGACGACGGGUAGCCGGCCUGAGAGGGUGACCGGCCACACUGGAACUGAGACACGGUCCAGACUCCUACGGGGGGCAGCAGUGGGGAAUCUUCCACAAUGGGCGAAAGCCUGAUGGAGCGACGCCGCGUGAGCGAAGAAGGCCUUCGGGUUGUAAAGCUCUGUCUGGAGGGACGAAGGAAGUGACGGUACCUCCGGAGGAAGCCACAGCUAACUACGUGCCAGCAGCCGACGGUAAAACCACAUAGUAGU